UUCCCGUCUAAAUAUUUUCCCUGGAGAUGGAAAGGUGCGCUGGCGGCCGGGGAGCCGCGACCUGGGGCGCGCUGGGCCUCGCAGAGCAGCCGCGGACCCCGGCGAUCGUGCCGUGUUCGUCUCCUUUGUGUUUCUUUAUUGAGUCCCUACUACCUCUACGGAUAUUCUGGGGGCAAUUAAAGAAAAUCACCGCUUCAUAGGCAGCACAUAUUUCCCAUAGAAAUGUGGAAUGUAAGAAAGGCACAUAAAGCAAUCCAAGUUGCCUGCAGAUAUCCACAGCCUACUUCAGUCUCAGUAAUGCUCUUUUAACCUGGUUUUCAAUUUCAGCUAUAUGGAGAGUUGACAGAAAAUACAGGAUCAUCAAUCAAUGAUACAGUAAAUACAGAAUUCCUCACAGAUGAUGAAUGUUGUCCUUCAGCGUCUGUGGUCACUUCCACCUUUAACUAAAGUUGGAGUUGGAAGAAAGGCAAUGUGACUCCAAACUUCACAGUACCUCCAUCUUAGACAAACACGACUCUCUCCUUCACCUGCGUGCCAGCUGAGGGAGUUCUGUUCCAUUGCUGUCUCCGGGGACUCUGUCAGUAUAUUUGAUGUAAUACUUGUUUCUGUCCAUAAAAC
rnacentral:lncRNA from 1 species